rnacentral:siRNA from 1 species
UGAGACUUAUUUACAAUGGCUGCC